rnacentral:lncRNA from 1 species
AUCCAUUCUGAUCGGCAAAUUAUUUUUCGUGUUAUUACCCCUUCCUCAGAUGAUCGUUGGAUUAUUAGUAUUGUGUAUACUAGUACUAUUGGUAUGCAGCAUCGUACACUUUGGCAAACCGCUACUGUUGUUCUUAAUUUGAAUUUGCCUACUCUCCUUAUAGGUGAUUUUAAUUAUAUUUUUAGUCCUUUAAAUAAAAAGGUGAUCGUCC